rnacentral:rRNA from 1 species
GAUGAACGCUGGCGGCGUGCCUAAUACAUGCCAGUCGAGCGAACAGACGAGGAGCUUGCUCCUCUGACGUUAGCGGCGGACGGGUGAGUAACACGUGGAUAACCUACCUAUAAGACUGGGAUAACUUCGGGAAACCGGAGCUAAUACCGGAUAAUAUAUUGAACCGCAUGGUUCAAUAGUGAAAGACGGUUUUGCUGUCACUUAUAGAUGGAUCCGCGCCGCAUUAGCUAGUUGGUAAGGUAACGGCUUACCAAGGCAACGAUGCGUAGCCGACCUGAGAGGGUGAUAGGCCACACUGGAACGGGGACGCGGUCCAGACGCCUACGGGAGGCAGCAGUAGGGAAUCUUCCGCAAUGGGCGAAAGCCUGACGGAGCAACGCCGCGUGAGUGAUGAAGGUCUUCGGAUCGUAAAACUCUGUUAUUAGGGAAGAACAAAUGUGUAAGUAACUAUGCACGUCUUGACGGUACCUAAUCAGAAAGCCACGGCUAACUACGUG